rnacentral:rRNA from 1 species
AGAGUUUGAUCAUGGCUCAGGAUGAACGCUGGCGGCGUGCUUAACACAUGCAAGUCGAACGGAGUAAUUAAGGUAGCUUGCUACAUUAAUUACUUAGUGGCGGACGGGUGAGUAACGCGUGGAUAACCUACCUUACACAGGGGGAUAACAACGAGAAAUCGUUGCUAAUACCGCAUAAGUGUGAUUUCCGCAUGGGGAUCAUAUGAAAGCUCCGGCGGUGUAAGAUGGGUCCGCGUCUGAUUAGCUAGUUGGUGAGAUAACAGCCCACCAAGGCAACGAUCAGUAGCCGGCUUGAGAGAGUGGACGGCCACACUGGGACUGAGACACGGCCCAGACUCCUACGGGAGGCAGCAGUGGGGAAUAUUGCACAAUGGGGGAAACCCUGAUGCAGCGACGCCGCGUGAAGGAAGAAGGUCUUCGGAUCGUAAACUUCUAUCAGCAGGGAAGAAGGUAGUGACUGUACCUGACUAAGAAGCCCCGGCUAACUACGUGCCAGCAGCCGCGGUAAUACGUAGGGGGCAAGCGUUAUCCGGAAUCACUGGGUGUAAAGGGUGCGUAGGCGGUAGGGCAAGUCAGAUGUGAAAGCCCGGGGCUCAACUCCGGGAUUGCAUUUGAAACUGUCUUACUAGAGUGCAGGAGAGGAAAGCGGAAUUCCUAGUGUAGCGGUGAAAUGCGUAGAUAUUAGGAAGAACACCAGUGGCGAAGGCGGCUUUCUGGACUGUAACUGACGCUGAGGCACGAAAGCGUGGGGAGCGGACAGGAUUAGAUACCCUGGUAGUCCACGCCGUAAACGAUGAGUGCUAGGUGUCGGGGCCGUGAGUCCCGGUGCUGAAGUCAACGCAUUAAGCACUCCACCUGGGGAGUACGUUCGCAAGAAUGAAACUCAAAUGAAUUGACGG